GGCUUCGUAGCUCAGCUGGUAGAAAACUUGCCGCGUUGAGGCAUGCCGUGUCUGUCGCUGGUUCGAAUCCAGCCGAAGCCC
rnacentral:tRNA from 1 species